GCCCUUGUAGCUCAACGGAUAGAGCACCAGCCUUCUAAGCUGGCCAUAGAGGUUCAAUUCCUCUCGAGGGCA
rnacentral:tRNA from 2 species